rnacentral:rRNA from 1 species
AUUCCAGCUCCAAUAGCGUAUAUUAAAGUUGUUGCAGUUAAAAAGCUCGUAGUUGGAUUUGUGGCGUACGGUGUGUUCCGGGCACUUGUUGUCUGAGUAACCUGCCGUUGCCAUCCUUGGGUGGAACCUGUGUGGCAUUAGGUUGUCGUGCAGGGGAUGCCCAUCAUUUACUGUGAAAAAAUUAGAGUGUUCAAAGCAGGCUUAUGCCGUUGAAUAUAUUAGCAUGGAACAAUAAGAUAGGACUUGUUUGCUAUUUUGUUGGUUUGCGCAAAUAGGUAAUGAUUAAUAGGGACAGUUGGGGGUAUUCGUAUUCCAUUGUCAGAGGUGAAAUUCUUGGAUUUUUGGAAGACGAACUACUGCGAAAGCAUUUACCAAGGAUGUUUUCAUUA